UUGUACCUACGACUAGUGGAGCACAAAUCUGUAGUCGUCUGUCAUACAGAUAUUCCAUAACAGUUGAACAUUUUGGUUGCAUCAGUUAUUUUCAAUGCAAAGCCUUCGUAAAUAGCUCCCAUGUAAGCAGUAUCAAUGUUAUUCAUAGGAAACGCAAAGCCUUGUAUAUACAAUCAGUAGGGAGAGAUAUUGCGUUGUUGGAAUGC
rnacentral:lncRNA from 1 species